CACGGCGCACGGGUGCGUAACACGUGGGCAAUCUGCCCUUGGAUGGGGAAUAACCCGCCGAAAGGCGGGCUAAUACCGCAUAACAUUUCUGGAACCGUGGUUUCGGAAAUCAAAGCCGUAAGGCGUCCGAGGUGGAGCCCGCGCCCGAUUAGCUUGUUGGCGAGGUAACGGCUCACCAAGGCGAUGAUCGGUAGCCGGUCUGAGAGGAUGGCCGGCCACACUGGAACUGAGACACGGUCCAGACUCCUACGGGAGGCAGCAGUGGGGAAUCUUGCGCAAUGGGCGAAAGCCUGACGCAGCGACGCCGCGUGGGGGAUGAAGCUUUUCGGAGUGUAAACCCCUUUCGACCGGGACGAAUGCCUCGCAAGAGGAGUGACGGUACCGGUAUAAGAAGCCCCGGCUAACUACGUGCCAGCAGCCGCGGUAAGACGUAGGGGGCCAGCGUUGCUCGGAAUAACUGGGCGUAAAGGGUCCGUAGGCGGUGCGGCAAGUCGGGAGUGAAAUUUCUGGGCUUAACCCAGGGACUGCUUCCG
rnacentral:rRNA from 1 species